AUUACUUUGGCAGAUUAGUGCUUUAAAUUUAGAAUUUAAAUAUAAUAUUUGAAAUUAUUAAGUAAUA
rnacentral:tRNA from 1 species